UCGUAACAAGGUUUCCGUAGGUGAACCUGCGGAAGGAUCAUUACUGAUUUGCUUAAUUGCACCACAUGUGUUUUUUAUUGAACAAAUUUCUUUGGUGGCGGGAGCAAUCCUACCGCCAGAGGUUAUAACUAAACCAAACUUUUUAUUUACAGUCAAACUUGAUUUAUUAUUACAAUAGUCAAAACUUUCAACAACGGAUCUCUUGGUUCUCGCAUCGAUGAAGAACGCAGCGAAAUGCGAUACGUAAUAUGAAUUGCAGAUAUUCGUGAAUCAUCGAAUCUUUGAACGCACAUUGCGCCCUUUGGUAUUCCAAAGGGCAUGCCUGUUUGAGCGUCAUUUCUCCCUCAAACCCCCGGGUUUGGUGUUGAGCAAUACGCUAGGUUUGUUUGAAAGAAUUUAACGUGGAAACUUAUUUUAAGCGACUUAGGUUUAUCCAAAACGCUUAUUUUGCUAGUGGCCACCACAAUUUAUUUCAUAACUUUGACCUCAAAUCAGGUAGGACUACCCGCUGAACUUAAGCAUAUCAAUAAGCGGAGGA
rnacentral:misc_RNA from 1 species